AUCCACUGCAAUAUAAAAGAACAUGUGAAUGGGACUGCUUAUAUGAAUCGUCUUCACCUCACAUACUUUUCUCUGUCAUUGCUAAAGCGUAACUUCCAAAAGAGGACCAAAAUACUUUUGAUGCAUGCUAAUGAAAGCAUUAGAAGAUAUUUCUGGGUAAAUAGUCUAUCUCUGUCUAACUCGAAAAUAAGGAUUUUUGUUAACUAGUGGAAGAAUGGAACAAUUGAAUACAUAGAACAUGUUUUAUGGCUGCUCUAUGAAGGACAGUCCUGCAAAGUAUCCCUGCUGACGUACCCAUGGCAGAGGAAUCAGUGUGCCUUUAAAAAUCUGCUUGCUAGAGAGGAAUCCAAAUUACUUGGAUAUUCAAAACCGCAUGUGAGCUUAGCACAACCAUGAAUGGUGUGCGAAUCUUAUUCCCCAUCUUUUGUAAUUGAAGCCCUUAAUAUGUAUGUUAUAUAACUAAAGCCAUCCCUAUCAACUGGAGAACUAGAUUGAUCCAUUGUUAGUCAAACAGUAAAAUAGAAACACAGUUCUGUAAGUCAAAGUAGCUCAGUCUCUCUCAUACCUUUCCUGCAUAGUGCAGUAUGCAGAACUCAGUUUUAUCCUUGAGUUGUUUGGACUUCUGGAAUUUGGCAUGGUUGCCUUGUUCUUGAAUUAGUUUUUCCACAAAGGAAGUGUCAGUAGCUUUGGGAAACCAGCACUCUUCAUCCAGCAGAGCUAGGACACCCGGGGGGUUGGUCUGCAACGUGAACAAUACCAGAUCAGUAUAAUCAAAGCUGGAGAUGAAGAAAGACCACCGCCUUCUUUUUACUUUGUUACUAAUCCUCCCAGGCAACAACAAUCUGAAAUAAUCUUAAAUGGUACUUAUAUUGAUAUAUAAUGGACCCUGAUGAAACCUACGUAGUAUCCCAUCUAUAUAGAUAAAAACUUACGGGUCUUUCAAUUAGCUCAAUGCAAGGCUGCAGGUCAAGGCCAAAGUCAAUGAAAUUCCAUUCAAUGCCCUCACGCUGAUAUUCCUCUUGCUCCAAUAUAAACAUUGUGUGGUUGAAAAGCUGUUGAAGUUUCUCAUUAGUGUAAUUGAUGCACAGCUGCUCAAAGGAAUUGAUCU